GUAGCGGCGAGCGAAGCGGGAAAAGCUCAAAUUUGUAAUCUGGCGUCUACGACGUCCGAGUUGUAAUCUCGAGAAGUGUUUUCCGUGAUAGACCGCAUACAAGUCUCUUGGAACAGAGCGUCACAGUGGUGAGAACCCAGUACACGAUGCGGAUGCCUAUUACUUUGUGAUACACUUUCGAAGAGUCGAGUUGUUUGGGAAUGCAGCUCAAAUUGGGUGGUAAAUUCCAUCUAAAGCUAAAUAUUGGCGAGAGACCGAUAGCGAACAAGUACCGUGAGGGAAAGAUGAAAAGCACUUUGGAAAGAGAGUUAACAGUACGUGAAAUUGUUGGAAGGGAAACACAUGCAGCCAGACUUGCUAUUCGGGGCAACUCGAUUGGCAGGCCCGCAUCAGUUUUUCGGGGCGGAAAAUCAUAGAGAGAAGGUAGCAGUUUCGGCUGUGUUAUAGCUCUUUAUUGGAUUCGCCCUGGGGGACUGAGGAACGCAGCGUGCUUUUAGCAUAAGCUUCGGCUUAUCCACGCUUAGGAUGCGGGUGUAAUGGCUGUAUAUGACCCGUCUUGAACACAGGG
rnacentral:rRNA from 1 species